UUUAUAUUUCAGAGACAAAGACCCUGCAAUAUUAGCAAGACACUCCAACGAUCACAUGACUCCGCCCCCUAUGAACAAGUAGUGCUCCACACAAUGAUGACCACAAUUUGGGAGAAGACCUAUUGAAGUCAUGGAUAUGGACAAAUCGGUUGUAGGCAAUAAAAUAGAUUUACAGAUUACACAGGUUCCUUGAAGGACUAGAAUUGUGUUAUUCUCAGCCUCAGGCCUCCCGUAGGCGUCUGCACCUGCCACCUCAUCACUGCUCAUCAUCAUCAUCAACUUCAUUCAUAAAAUCUCACCGGCGUCGUCGUCCUGCAGUGACCCUGUGAAGAUACUCUGCUGCUCGCGAGACUUAAAAGUUUGAGUGUCUCUCAUGCGUCUGCGAUUAAUGUGCAGCGACAUCUUUAACAGCACCGUCAGCUGAAGAAGUAGGUGUGAGGUGAUUAAGACACCUGUCAGCGUCAUCAGUUGGUUUUUUCUUACAAACGAUGUGACUGCACUGACAGGGAAACAUUAAUCAAACAUUUAAACCAGCUGCAACCUGCAGGAGAGCACAACGCUUAAAGUAAGAGAGUUCAACAAUGUCUCUACUAGUCACGUUGCUUUUGCUGUCGCUGGUUUCUCAGUGUUGGACUGCUCCACAGAGGAGAAACUGGACUUCUCAGGCCAUCCUAUACCUGAAAGGAGCACAGGGACGCCGCUCAUUUUUGGAACGUGGCAGAAGAGAGGAAGAAAACACUUUUCACUCAGGGACUCACAAGCAGAACAGAGAUGGCCGAGGAUCAUCUUUGCUUUUAUCCAUUUUACUGGAACUCCUACAGCGAGCUGUAGAAGAAGAUGCAGGCAAUCCAGAUAAUUACCUGGACUAUCAGGAGGUGAAUAUAACCCACUUGUGAACAUUCAUCAGAGCCCACUUCUAUGUUUUUCUGUUUCUUAUGUUGCUUGUUAUAUUUUAUUGUUAUUGUUGAUUUUUGUCUGCGUGUCACAAAUUUGAUAUAAAUAAAACUGUCCCACCAGCAAGAUGUUAGAGUCUGAUUUAUGUGUGAGUUUCUCUUCAUUUGACUGUCAUCGUGUGCAGUUUGUUGGUGUGACACAUGGAUGGAUUCCCUUUUACACUCAUCCUUGUCAACUUAUUAAAACAAUUAUGCCAGUCACUCAUUCACACCAUGAAGUGAUUAACAUCAGGAUGACAAACUAUCAGUCACUCAUCAUCACGCCGUCUUCACAGCGGUCACCGAGAG